AUGGUAUGCAGAGGGAGGUGUGACACAGAAGCACAGGAGAAGAACCAUCAGAGACACAAGCAGUGACUAGGCUUACAUUGUCACAAGCAAAGGAACACCUGGGACCCGAAGAGCAGAAGUUUCUCCCCGGACCCUCUGAAUGGGCAGAAGGACUGCAGACCACUUACUUUUGAACGUCUUGCUUGCAGAACCGUAAAUAACCACUCAUAAGCUUGGGUUGUGAAAUUCUCAGAGGCAAGCUCAUCACCAGAUGUGGCCCACAGAGAGAAGAGCCCCAGCCUGGCUCUGAGUCCACAUGCAAGGAAGGGCGACCAUGCCCAGAAGAGGAGUUCCUUGGUUCCAGACGAAUCUCCAUUGUGACGUUGCUAGAAGAUGCUUGGUGGGACAAUGUAGAAGGUUUCCUCCCUGGUUUCAGAGCAGGCUGCUGCAGGUAGGAGGCAGACAUGCCCUCAUUGCUCUACUUACACAUGUCAUCCCUUAUGCCUCUUCUGUUGCUGUGGUGAGAGUAUAACCUCAUCCAUCACCUAUGGUGGAAAGUUUAUGCUUUCUUGUGUGCUGCCCUUGAAGGCAGGGACUGAGUCUGACUCACGGCAGUGACAGGUAUGUCAGAAACCUGCCUUACUUAUCAUCUAAUGCAAGUGUGUGUUCAUGUGUGUGCAGGUGCAUGUGUGUACAUGUGCACAUGGAGGGUAGAGAUCAGCCUCAAGUGUCGUUUCCCAGUCCAAUUUGUCGUUUCCCAGUUUUGGAGACAGCAUCUUUAUCUUUCACUGGCCUGGAGCUUGCCUGGUAGACUAGGCUGGCCAACCAGUGAGCCUUCCUGUCUCAUCUCCCCAGUGCUGGGACUACGAACACGCCACCAUGCCCAGACUUAUUUCUUUCCAUAUGGAGUUGGAGAUCAAACUCAGGCCUCCACACUUUUGAGGUUACCUCCCUCCCCCAGCUUCCACCUGCCUUUAGCAAGGGACACCUUCCAUGAUAAACCAGGCAGGCCUGGCAUUUUCCACAAUCCCCACCUGAGUCUUCUGAUAGACCUGAGGAGAGGCAAAGUUCCUCAUAGACGGAUGCCGGGAACACACAAUGCAUGGGGAUGCCAUGGAGGACGGCAGAGAGGACUGAGGCCUUCAGCUCCCCUGAAGCAACAUUUACUUGACAUUGUAAACCGAGGGAUGCACACUGGGGAUGGGACUCUGACCCUCUGUGAGAACAGCCCAGGAACUGUGUGUUGCAUUGCGGAAACCCUCUGAAGGGUCAGCACUGUCGAAACAAAACAAAGUCAAAAUGAAGACCCCAGGCACCCAGUUUAAUGCAAGCUGGAGUUCAGAUGUUGUCUCAGAUAUGAUUCUUAUUCAGCCAGUCAGUAUGUGUUUCCUGAAAUCUCACUGGUGUCACAGAGAGACAGCAGAGUGAUAUGCGUUGGCGGCCGGAUGACUUGAAAUGGCACUGCAAACACAAGAUGAUUUUACUUACGAAAUAUGGAGUUUUCAUAAAAUAGUUUGGGAUGAAGGAGACGGAGAAAAAGAACAAUGGGAAACCCCAGAAGACAAAACCUUUAAAAGUUCUUACGUGCUUGGUAUGCCUCUCCCUACUAAAUGUAAAAGAAAUCCCCCCAAAUAAAUAGUUUAAGAAAGUUUUGUAAACAGCAACUUAAUAAAAUUUACCCUAA
rnacentral:lncRNA from 1 species